UACCUACUCUCAACAUUUCAAAUAAGCUA
rnacentral:piRNA from 1 species